CGUGGAGAAAGAUGGUGGCGUGAAGAGGAGAGUCUAACUCAAUUUAGACUCUAGAUUUUUAUUCAAAUUCAAAUCUAUUUGAACUCAAAUUUAAACCAACCAAUUUUUAAUUCAAAAGAAAUCAGAUGAGGAUGUGAAAAAGGUUUCUGGACAUAAAAAAAAUUAUGUAAAAAUAUUUCUCAUGUGAAGAAUAAGAGGGCGCAG
rnacentral:lncRNA from 1 species